rnacentral:tRNA from 1 species
CUGGCUGUUGCUCAGCUUGGAAGAGCGCGCGGUUGGGGAUCGCGUGGCCGCAGGUUUGAAUCCUGCCAGCCAGACCA